rnacentral:rRNA from 1 species
GACGAACGCUGGCGGCGUGCUUAACACAUGCCAGUCGAACGGAAAGGCCUGCUUUCCCUUGUGGAUUGCGGGUACUCGAGUGGCGAACGGGUGAGUAACACGUGAGUGAUCUGCCCCCAACUUGGGUAUAAGCCUGGGAAACUGGGUCUAAUUCCCGAUAGGACUGCAGGGUGGUGCCUGUGGUGGAAAACGAUUUUCUAGUGGUUGGGGAUGAGCUCGCGGCCUAUCAGCUUGUUGGUGGGGUAAUGGCCUACCAAGGCGGCGACGGGUAGCCGGCCUGGGAGGGUGGACGGCCACAUUGGGACUGAGAUACGGCCCAGACUCCUACGGGAGGCAGCAGUGGGGAAUAUUGCACAACGGGCGGAAGCCUGAUGCAGCGACGCCGCGUGGGGGAUGACGGCCUUCGGGUUGUAAACUCCUUUCGACCGCGAGGAAGCCACCUGGUUGGAAGGGUGGUGACGGUAGUGGUAGAAGAAGCACCGGCUAACUACGUG